GUUUGGAAUCCAGGACCCCUAAUUCCCGGGGCAGCCAGCUGCACCACGUUUUAGCCAAUCUCCUGCAGCAGUCCAGGAUGAUGACCCCAUGCCUGGGACGUGCAGUCCCCAACCCAAGUCUCUUUGAGCAUCUGCCUGGGAGAUGCCGGUGUUUACCCAGGGUGAGUUGGAGGGGCCUGGAUGCUGAACCCAGUUCUUGGGAAUUUGGACAGCUGUCCCUGGACAGCCACCAAGACUCUGCCUCCCAGACCAAGAUGGAGAGCCGAGCAUGUGGCAGCUACAGGUCAGUUGCUCAUCCAUUUUCCUUGAGGCCUCUGGCAGGAGGCUGGAGAGCCCGACGCCCCCAGGGGGUGCUGCCAUCAACAUUAGUCCUGGUGACAGGAGGACAAAUCAAAGCGCUGCACGCUACCGGGAAGAAGAUAAAUCUGGCAAAAGGCUAAUGAGUAAAC